UUGUUUGUUGUCUGAGACAAGACACUGAUCAAACAGCUGGGCCUGGAGGGAAAGGUCAAUGUACAGCAGGUUGGAAAGAAAUGGGAAAAUUUAAAAAAGAAAUAUAAGGAUCUGGAAACGCCAAAGACUGGUUCAGGGACUGAAAGCGGGGAGAAAACAGCUGCCAACUGGCCUUUCUACGAGGAUAUGCAUGAAGUUCUCGGUGCCAGACCAUGCAUAGAGCCCCCUGUAUUAGUGGCAUCUUUUAAUGAAGGCAGUGAUGCCACAACAUUACUGAUGAACAUCGUUGAACCAAGAGAAGAUUCUGCCUCCAGUCCUGGUCCUCCAACCACUCCCACUGCUCCUGAUCCCACAACACUGUCUCCCAGGAAGAAACGCACGAAGACCAAUCAUCUACUGGAAUUUCUCAAACAGGAAUCCGCAAAGGAGCAGAAGAGGCACGAGGAGACUGAAGCCAAAACGGAACGUUUCCUCAGCCUAUUUGAGAAGCUAGUUAAUAAAAUGC